GUCCACGCCGUAAACGUUGGGCACUAGGUGUGGGUUCUAUCGACGGAUUCCGUGCCGUAGCUAACGCAUUAAGUGCCCCGCCUGGGGAGUACGGCCGCAAGGCUAAACUCAAAGGAAUUGACGGGGCCCGCACAAGCGGCGGAGCAUGUGGCUUAAUUCGAUGCGACGCGAAGAACCUUACCUGGGUUUGACAUGUGGGGAAAAGCCGUAGAGAUACGGUGUCCUUCGGGGCCCCAUACAGGUGGUGCAUGGCUGUCGU
rnacentral:rRNA from 1 species